rnacentral:rRNA from 1 species
AGAGUUUGAUCCUGGCUCAGGACGAACGCUGGCGGCGCGCCUAACACAUGCAAGUCGAACGAGCGAGAGAGAGCUUGCUUUCUCGAGCGAGUGGCGAACGGGUGAGUAACGCGUGAGGAACCUGCCUCAAAGAGGGGGACAACAGUUGGAAACGACUGCUAAUACCGCAUAAGCCCACGGGUCGGCAUCGACCAGAGGGAAAAGGAGCAAUCCGCUUUGAGAUGGCCUCGCGUCCGAUUAGCUAGUUGGUGAGGUAAUGGCCCACCAAGGCGACGAUCGGUAGCCGGACUGAGAGGUUGAACGGCCACAUUGGGACUGAGACACGGCCCAGACUCCUACGGGAGGCAGCAGUGGGGAAUAUUGCACAAUGGGGGAAACCCUGAUGCAGCGACGCCGCGUGGAGGAAGAAGGUCUUCGGAUUGUAAACUCCUGUUGUUGGGGAAGAUAAUGACGGUACCCAACAAGGAAGUGACGGCUAACUACGUGCCAGCAGCCGCGGUAAAACGUAGGUCACAAGCGUUGUCCGGAAUUACUGGGUGUAAAGGGAGCGCAGGCGGGAAGACAAGUUGGAAGUGAAAUCUAUGGGCUCAACCCAUAAACUGCUUUCAAAACUGUUUUUCUUGAGUAGUGCAGAGGUAGGCGGAAUUCCCGGUGUAGCGGUGGAAUGCGUAGAUAUCGGGAGGAACACCAGUGGCGAAGGCGGCCUACUGGGCACCAACUGACGCUGAGGCUCGAAAGCGUGGGUAGCAAACAGAAUUAGAUACCCUGGUAGUCCACACCGUAAACG